rnacentral:piRNA from 1 species
UGGGUCCUCUCUAAGGAUGCUCCAUGCUCC